rnacentral:rRNA from 1 species
CCUACGGGAGGCAGCAGUGGGGAAUAUUGGACAAUGGGGGGAACCCUGAUCCAGCCAUGCCGCGUGUGUGAAGAAGGCCCUCGGGUUGUAAAGCACUUUCAGUGAGGAAGAACGCCUGGUGGUUAAUACCCAUCAGGAAAGACAUCACUCACAGAAGAAGCACCGGCUAACUCCGUGCCAGCAGCCGCGGUAAUACGGAGGGUGCGAGCGUUAAUCGGAAUUACUGGGCGUAAAGCGCGCGUAGGUGGCUGGAUAAGCCGGUUGUGAAAGCCCCGGGCUCAACCUGGGAACGGCAUCCGGAACUGUCAAGCUAGAGUGCAGGAGAGGAAGGUAGAAUUCCCGGUGUAGCGGUGAAAUGCGUAGAGAUCGGGAGGAAUACCAGUGGCGAAGGCGGCCUUCUGGACUGACACUGACACUGAGGUGCGAAAGCGUGGGUAGCAAACAGGAUUAGAUACCCCAGUAGUC